GCCCUUGUAGCUCAGUGGUAGAGCACCACCAUGGUAAGGUGGGGGUCGCCGGUCCAAUCCCGGCCGAGGGCU
rnacentral:tRNA from 1 species